rnacentral:rRNA from 1 species
GAUGAACGCUAGCGGCAGGCUUAAUACAUGCAAGUCGAGGGGCAGCAGGUCGGUAGCAAUAUAGAUGCUGGCGACCGGCAAACGGGUGCGGAACAAGUACACAACCUUCCUUCGAGCGGGGAAUAGCCCGGGGAAACCCGGUUUAAUACCCCAUCGUAUGGUGUAGACGCAUCUCUUUACUCUUACAGAUUUAUCACUUGAAGAUGGGUGUGCGGCUGAUUAGCUAGUUGGCGGGGUAACGGCCCACCAAGGCAACGAUCAGUAACUGGUGUGAGAGCACGACCAGUCACACGGGCACUGAGACACGGGCCCGACUCCUACGGGAGGCAGCAGUAAGGAAUAUUGGUCAAUGGACGAAAGUCUGAACCAGCCAUGCCGCGUGGAGGAUGAAGGUCCUCUGGAUUGUAAACUUCUUUUAUCUGGGACGAAAAAAGGGAAUUCUUUUCCGACUGACGGUACCAGAUGAAUAAGCACCGGCUAACUCCGUGCCAGCAGCCGCAGUAAUAC